CGCGAAAGAAGCAGAGGUUAUAUAAGCAGCGGUCGUCACAUCACGCGCACAGCCGGACUCUGAGUGGACGUCGCCUGACCGGAGAGCUUUCACGAGCUGCUGCACCCCAAAGGCUCCACAGCACUUGUCACAAGUCUUUGGUUUUAUUUGUCAAGAUCAUCUGAAAAGAGUUCACCUGUGCCAUGUAAUGGACAAAUGUUCUGAAACUCACCCCCAACCUGAAUGCAUGACUCAACACCCUGGUUUCCAAGCAGUAUGUCUCAAUCCAUGGGUUCUUCAAGUUGAGUAUGCAUGCAUGCUCCAGUAUUAUGGUGAUUAUGAC